GGAGGCUGUUUGUAAAAUCUGAGAAGCCCUGAUCCAUGAGGACUGAUGGGGUUCAGACCUGGAAAGAGGUGACAGCGACAGUGGUCUCAUAGGAAUCUGUGUUGCAACACCAUGGUGCUGGUUUACUACCAUUAUUGCUGUGCUUUGACCUGGAUUCUAGAGCUAAGAGAGAUUGACCUACUGCCCCAUGAAGUGAAAAAAAGAACCCCACGCCCUCCACAGAAGGCAAGAAUGAUCACGCCAUGGCUCGCUUCUAGAUGAAAUUCACACCGAAAGCGCACUUACCUUCCUGCUGCUUCUCUUCAAAGGGGGUAGAAUGAAUUCCACCAUGCACCCAGCCCCAUGCCCAGGGCUCCAGACGUCUUUUUCUCGGCGGAAAAGCCUGGCCACUGGAAGCGAGCACUCAGCGGAGAACUCUGAAUUAGUCGGGAACUGUCUCUGGCUGUUGCAGAAGUCAGUGGAACCAAUUGGGUCAUGAAUGGAAUAAACUCCCCAAAAUUCAAACCCCAGAGGCCGAAAGGAAGCGCACAAUGCCAGAUGCGGUUCCCAGAAGCUCCUGUCCCUCUGACAGCUGUCGUUUGAGCCGCCCGGGAGACGAACUGUCCUCCUCGCCGGUGCCAGAGGACGCAGGAAAUUAGCCAGGUUGCGAGUUGUGAGGCUGCGGCGCCGGGCACCGGGCGCUGCCCACCUCCCGCGCGAGCGGCGGG